AGCUGGACAAAUUGUGCAAGAAGUUCCUAAAAUAAAGGCAACUUGACACAUUGUGCACCAGGGGAAGUAGACACAAAGUGGCCAGUAAGUGCUGGGACAUAUUACAUAUUAAAAAUAAAGUAACAAUCCCUCUUUCUCUUUCUUUUCUCUUUCCCUUCUCAUCAAUUAGGUCCAGAAGUCAUUUGGUGGCACCGAGCACAACAGGCAUGCACAGUGGUGCUUGGGGGUGGUGGGGUGGGCUACUGCAGCGGUAGCAUUGGAGCAUCAGCUGAGUAAGGAGGACACCUGAGUGAAGAGUGCAGUGGACAGAAUGUGUCCUCCCAAAUUCAUAUGUUGAAAUCCCACUUGCAACGUCAUGGUAUUCGGAGCUGGAACUUUGGGAGGUGAUUAGGUCAUGAGGGUGAAGCCUUCAUGCGUGGGGUUAGUGACCUUGAAAAUAAAAGGGAUUCCAAAGAGCUCCCUCCCUUUGUUUCCAUGAUACAGUGAGAAGCAGGCAGUCUGCAGUCUGGAAGAAGGUCCUCAUCAGAACCAACUCUGCUGGUACUCUGGUCUCAGACAUCCAGUUUCCAGAACUAUGAGAAACUUGUGUCUGUUGUUUACAUGCCAUCCAGUCCAAGGACUUCAGUAGAAGCUGCCUUGGGUUGAUCAGAAGCAGAUGAUUUGAACGACCUGCAAGAGUUAAUGACCACAGCAGCCCAAGGGCGUUUGAAUCAGAGAUAAGCAGGUGACUCUGAAGACUCUGGUUUCUGCUCUAGGCUCUGUGUCUGGCACCUCACUGACUCAGACUUGUGUAAACUCAGCACACAGGUUCCCAAGACAUCUCAGCCAAGUUCCAGAAAGGAGAGGUUUUCAUGCAAGCUCCCAGGAUUCACUCUCUAUAAUGCCAUUGGUGAAGAGCUCAUUGAAGAGGAUUUUGAACUUAAAAUGUAAACUCCAAACAAUCGCAGAUGGAAGGUCAGAGUUCUUUGUAAGGGCAAAUCAGCAAAGAUAUUAGGAGGCACUCCUUCCGGGUCAGACAGCAUGGGAUGAGGGUUGCAGGUGAGAAAGCUAAAGAAUCGGUGAUAAGGAAGAUAAUGGACAGGACUGGAAAGGGAUGUUUUCAUCAGUCACACCUGGAUAAGGGUUUCAGCCAUUUCAGAGGUUGGAGGAUUAUAGAACAGGGUGGUAAUAAAUUUUCUCUGCUAUGG